UCUCCUGUUUUUUCACUUUUAAUUUUUCCAUUUUUCUUUUUUCAGAAGCUUUCAAAAGCACUUUUGCGGUUUAGAAGACUAGGAGCUACUUUUGCUCCACCUCAGCGUUGCCCAAGGUGAAGGCGCUGUGUGAUCCAGCCGAGGCAGUGCAGGCUGCACAGCACGGUCCCGUCACAGCAGUGCCUCGAGGGAGCGUGUCUCGUGGUGCUCCAGCAGCCACGUGCCGCAGCUGAGAUUUUCAGCUCCUGAAGAAGUGAUCAGAUUAUAGAAAAAAUAGGAGCGGAAGGAAAACAGCUUUAAAAGAGGGA
ensembl:lncRNA